rnacentral:rRNA from 1 species
GAUGAACGCUAGCGGCAGGCUUAAUACAUGCAAGUCGAGGGGCAGCAGCUCUGUAGCAAUACAGAGGCUGGCGACCGGCAAACGGGUGCGGAACACGCACACAACCUUCCUUUAAGCGGGGAAUAGCCCGGGGAAACCCGGAUUAAUACCCCAUAGUAUAUUGAAGAGGCAUCUCUUUACUAUUAAAGAUUUAUCACUUGAAGAUGGGUGUGCGGCUGAUUAGCUAGUUGGCGGGGUAACGGCCCACCAAGGCAACGAUCAGUAACUGGUGUGAGAGCACGACCAGUCACACGGGCACUGAGACACGGGCCCGGCUCCUACGGGAGGCAGCAGUAAGGAAUAUUGGUCAAUGGACGAAAGUCUGAACCAGCCAUGCCGCGUGGAGGAUGAAGGUCCUCUGGAUUGUAAACUUCUUUUAUAUGGGACGAGAAAAGGCUUUUCUAAGUCGUCUGACGGUACCAUAUGAAUAAGCACCGGCUAACUCCGUGCCAGCCGCCGCCGUAAAAC